rnacentral:lncRNA from 1 species
GUCCGUCCUUCCGUCUGUCCCGCUUCAGGUUAAAGUUUUUGGUCAAGGUAGUUUUUGAUGAAGCUGAAGUCCAAUCAACUUCAAACUUAGUAUACAUGUUCCUUAUGAUAUGAUCUUUCUAAUUUUACAGCCAAAUUAAACUUUUGACCCCAAUUUCACGGUCCACUGAACAUAGAAAAUGAAAGUGUGAGUUUCAGGUUAAAGUUUUUGGUCAAGGUAGUUACUGAUGAAGCUAAAGUCCAAUCAACUUGACACUUAGUACACAUGUUCCUUAUGAUAUGAUCUUUCUAAUUUUACAGUCAAGUUAAAUUGUUGACCCCAAUUUCACAGUCCACUGAACAUAGAAAAAGAAAGUGUGAGUUUCAGAUUAAAGUUUUUGGUCAAGGUAGUUUUUGAUGAAGUUGAAGUCCAAUCAACUUGAAACUUAGUACACAUGUUCCCUAUGGUGAGAUCUUUCUAAUUUAAUGCCAAAUUAGAUUUUUUACCCAAUUUCACGGUCCAUUGAACAUGUAAAAUAAUAGUGCGAGUGGGGCAUCCGUGUACUUUGGAC